rnacentral:rRNA from 1 species
ACGUAGGGUGCGAGCGUUAAUCGGAAUUACUGGGCGUAAAGCGCGCGCAGGCGGUUUCUUAAGUCUGAUGUGAAAGCCCACGGCUCAACCGUGGAGGGUCAUUGGAAACUGGGGAACUUGAGUGCAGAAGAGAAAAGCGGAAUUCCACGUGUAGCGGUGAAAUGCGUAGAGAUGUGGAGGAACACCAGUGGCGUAGGCGACUUUCUGGUCUGUAACUGACGCUGAGGCGCGAAAGCGUGGGGAGCAAACAGGA